UGAAAGUAAAUGAAAGGAAAAGAACCUCUAAAAAAAUUUCUCUAAACCCGCCUUCUAAAAAUAACAUCAAAAAACCAAGUAAUUAGCUAAAUAGGCUUCAUAUUCAAAGAGAAAUUACCAAUUAACCUUCUCCUGGCCCCCUAUCAGGAAAGGCAGCUGGAGAGUUGAAGAGUGAGGAAUUCCUACAGAGGGAGGAUGAGAUCCAUUUUGAGGGAUGCCCUUGCUGGAGGCAAUACUGACUUGAAAGAAAAUCCCAGCCACUGAUUCCACUUAAGUUUAGGAAUCUCUUAAAGGCUGAAAGGAAGAGCUCUGUUUGCUGAGAGAAAAAUAAACCAUCAGGACAAGGAAGGGGGUCAGUUGACAAAACCUGCCCAGAGUCUGAUCUGUUUUCUGUGAGUGGGUUCAGGUUUGGCACUGGAUAUGACCAAGAAGAUUAUGUUUUAUUUUGAGCCCAACACUGGUGAGAUGUCAUAUGCAAACACUGUCUAAGCUGUAUAACCUUAAUUUGCUGAUAAGAAGAGGAUAUAUUAUUUGUGUUAGAAUCAGAAGUCUUUCUGGAAUUCUAUAUGCCAUGCCUACUGUUUCUCCUUGGUGGGUUACACUGUCCUUAUGUCACCUACAAGAACAGCACAUUUUAAGAAAAUUCUUACCUGAAAAUUGAAAAUCGAAAGCAAAGAGCUAAGUGCUCUCUUUUCAUUGCUCCCCUAACACUAUAUCUAUCCCUCUAUUUUUUAUAUUUAAUGAUGAGUUUUGAAACUUUACUGAUAAGUGUUUUUCUCUAGGUUAUGAACUCUUUUGAGGGAUCUUGUUUAUCUCUGUAAUAUCACUGCCUCACGAGGUCUGACCUACUUAGAAAAUCUUGAACUGAAAAAAAACAUCGGGAAUGCUUAUUCACCUUAUUUCAAACGUAUAAACCCACUCCAACAUGGGCUUUUGCCCCCACCUCUCUGACAAAACUAUUUACAGUAGCCCCCCCAUAUCUGCAGUUUUGCUUUGCAUGGUUUCAGUCAAACACAGUCUGAAAAUAUACAUGGAAAAAUCCAGAAACAAGCACUUCAUAAGUUUUAAAUUGCACGUUGUUCUGAGUAGCAUGGUGAAAUCUUGCACCAUCCUACUCCGUCCUGCCCGGCACGUGAGUCAGCCCUUCGUCCAGUGUAUCCACGCUGUGUGCUCAGUAGCCGUCUCCUUGAUCAGGUCGCUGCUGCAGUGGCGCAGUGCUUGUGUUCAAGUAACCCUUACUUGACUCAAUAAUGGGCCCAAAGCAUAAGAGUAGUGAGCCUGGCAAUUCAGAAAUGCCAAAGAGAAGUUACUGUUUAUCUCUUACUGUGCCUAAUUUAUAAAUUAAUUUAAUUAAUGCUAAAUUAAUCUUUUUCAUAGGUAUGUAUGUGAAGGAAAAAACAUAGUAUAUGUAGACUUUGGUACUAGCUGUGGUUUCAGUAGUACUUAUCACAUUCUAUAAAGUUUAAAUGUUUCAGUCUUAUCAUCUGCAUCCCUCUGCUGGGGUAUAACCUCCAUGAGGGGAAGAAUUUUUUUGUCUGUUUCCUUCAUUGUUGUAUUGCCAGCAUGUAGAAGAAUGUUUGGCACAUAACAGGCAUUCGAUGAAUGCUUGUUAAAUGGAUGACUGGACAAAAAGAAAGGAAUAGUUUAUUUAGAGAGUUUGGAACAAUUUUCUUUUAUUUAUUUAAAUUACUGAAAAACUUUGUUUUGUGUGUGAACAUGCUAUAUAGUUCCAGCCUAUAGAAUAGUCAGGUUCACAAUUUAAUGAUGAGUAGGACAAUUAAUGUCAUUAAUUGAGACGCUGGAAACUCAGGAAUGACUGGGAGAGGCAGUGAGUCAGAAUUUAGACAGCGCUUUCUCCUUAGUGUAUAGCAGAGGCUAGCAAAACCAGCUCAAGCAGGCCCAGGAGGCUGACAUUAGCUUUCUAGGCACAGGUUGCAGUGAGUACAAUUUUCCAAGUUUCAUUCCUGAAGUUGAUACUGGCAGUUGAUCUGGGGAGACAGAGAGCACUGCAGAGGUGAAUGGACAGUUAGGUGGGACAUUGCUGAAGGACCUUACCAGUGGCCCAUAGCAGGACAAGGGGUUGAGAGCCUUCCUGAGAAUGGAGAUUGGCAAGAGCUAGGCAUGGUACCAUAGGCUGAGCUUUACAGUGGUGUUCUAAAGAACCUGGAAGGGAGACACAUCACAACAAAGGAGAGAGGGCUUAGUACUAUCCUGUUCUGGAAUCUGGGGCCACAGAAGAUGGAAUGAGCAGAGGGGGCUGGAAGUGCUAAAACUCUAAGAAUAUGAGGGUCAUCAUUUGUAUUCUGGAAUUUAGGAUGCACUGAUGAAGAAGAGAUAUGGGAAAGAAAAUAUAGAAGUCCUGAGAUCCAGUCAAGACCAUUAGCCCUGGGUCGGGGAACAAGGCUUUAUGCUGUCUCACCAGACAAAAGUGGGGAGUCGGAGGAGAGCAUAACCCGGUGCCUACAAGAGCUGGUGGUGGAUGGCAGGGGGAGAGGAGGAGAAAGUAAAGAAAAAGUCACCCACGCUGUGUCACUCACUGUGAAGUCCAGCAUGAAGACUGCCAGAGAGGAGCUAGCGGAUGACUUCAAACAGGAAUAAAACGAGGAGUCAUACGAGAUGUUCCGCAGGAUAAGAACACUCACAGUCACAAGACCAAGGCUUUGAGGAAGAACUGAAUUUGGGGAUGGAGCAAGAGGAGUGAGAUUUAGAACCACCA